AAGACCCCCGAACCAGACCGCCUCCCCCCUGCAAGAGGAGAGACCCCUUCCGCCACGGCUUGAUUGCCGGUGGCUUUCCUUUCUUCCUUCCCCUGCGCAGCUGCUCUCACACGCAGAUGCUGCUCUUCCUUCCGUCCCCGGACACGCAGGCAAGGCAAAGGCACCCACCACCAAAUAGGAAGGGGAGUUACUCCACCACCACCAGCAGCCUAGCCUAGCCUAGCACAGCACAGCACAGCACAGCACAGCAGUGGGAGGGGGAGGCACCAGGGCAGGGCAGGUCCGGAGAUGGAUGGAGACUUGUUGCAGCGCAGCCCACUGCAAAGCUCCAAAUUACAACACGGAGCCCAACCACCACUUAUACGCCACCGCCACCACCACCAGCAUCGCCACCACUUUCCCCUCCCCGAUCUCCUCCCCAAACCCUAACCCCUCCCCUCGGAUCCGCGCAUGGAGGCGUGACGGGCCGGGGGGAUGGACGCCGUGCCGGAGGACCUCCGCUGCAAGCGCUCCGACGGCAAGCAGUGGCGCUGCAGCGCCCCUUCCAUGCCCGACAAGACCGUCUGCGAGAAGCACUACGUCCAGGCCAAGAAGCGCGCCGCCUCCUCCGCGCUACGCGCUACGCUCCGCAGGUCCUCCCCCUCCUACGCCGCCGCCUCCUACGCGCCGCCCCGUGAGGGCGACGCCGACGCCGACCUGCCCCUGCCAAUGGCUGUCGCGAGGCCCUUCUACGGCAGUGUCGUCGGGGAGCCUGUCUACGUGGCGGAGCCGGCGGUGCGGAGGGGGCUGCCCCUCAUCAAUGCUAUCGGCUCGCGCACCGCAGCGGAGCUAGUCGGGAGAGCCUCUGUAGGGCUGCAAGGCUGUGCCGAGGUGAAGACGAGUUGCCACCAAUGCCGGAGGAGUGUCAAUGCCGUUUGGUGUACCAGCUGUGACAGGAGGGGGUAUUGCGGCGGCUGCAUCUCCAGAUGGUACUCUGACAUUGCAAUAGAUGAUAUUCAAAAGGUUUGUCCAGCAUGCCGUGGCAUUUGUAACUGCAAAGUUUGCUUACAAGGAGACAACGUAAUUAAGGCAAGGGUGCAGGAGAUAUCUGUUGUAGAUAAGUUGAAAUAUCUUCAUAGCAUUUUGGCAUAUGUUCUUCCAGUGCUAAAGCAGAUUUACUCCGACCAAUGCUUUGAAAUAGGUGUUGAAACAAGAGCUUAUGGGCCCAAGAUGGACAUCAUUAGGGCAAAGAUGAAUUCUGAUGAGCAAAUGUGCUGUGACUUUUGCAAAGUGCCAGUGUUUGAUUAUCAUCGACACUGUCCAAGAUGUUUGUAUGACUUAUGCCUUGACUGUUGUCGAGAUAUUAGGCGCUCUCAGACAAAUGUAGUCAGAGGAGAAUAUGCUGAAAGUAAAGGUCCUGUGGUGGAGACAAAUAAAAAUAGUGCGAGUGACAGAGCAAGAUUGGAACCAUCUGCAGCAAGUGUCAACGAUAAGUUGUUCCCAGAGCCGAUAGAUGCAAAUGAUAUUGGCAUCAGAUCUUUGUUUCCUACAUGGAGAGCCAACAAUGAUGGCAGCAUCACUUGUGGGCCUCAUGAGGCUGGUGGUUGUGGCUCCUCAAAGCUGGUAUUAAGGCGAAUAUUCAAAAUAAACUGGAUUGGUAAGCUUGUAAAGAGUUCUCAAGAAAUGGUUAAUGGUUGCAAAGCACAUGAUCUUGAGAAUGGAUGCUCAUCCUGUCACGAUAGCAGAAGAUUGGACUCAAUUGGUCGCCAUAACUUUGGUCUCUCAAAAUGUUCAGAUAGUGAUGGUAUUGAUGGGAACUCUGUGUACUCUUCUGUACUGGAGAACUUAAAAUACGAGGGUAUUGUCCAUUUCCGUAAACACUGGAUAAAUGGGGAGCCUGUAAUUAUUAGGAAUGCAUUUGAGCCUUCUUUAUCAUCAAGUUGGGACCCGUUAAGUAUUUGGCGAGGAAUCCAGGAGAUCAUGGAUGAAAAAAUGGAUGAAAAUGCGAUAGUUAAAGCUGUGGACUGCUCAAACCAAUCAGAGGUGCAUAUCAAGCUCAACCAAUUUAUCAAAGGUUAUUCAGAUGGUCACAAGGGAGAAGAUGGCAAGUUAAUUAUGCUGAAACUGAAAGAUUGGCCUCCAGUGAGCGUAUUAGAGGAGUUUCUGUUAUGCCAGCGACCAGAGUUCAUUGUCAAUUUUCCCUUAGUAGACUUUAUCCAUUCUAAGUGGGGCUUUCUUAACCUUGCGGCUAAGUUACCCCCAGAUGCCCUACAGUCUGAAGUAGGCCUAAAGCUGCUUAUUGCAUAUGGAAGGCAGCAACAACCUGGUAAAAGCGAUUCAGUGACAAAUCUGAUGGUUAAGAUGGGUGAUGUGGUACACAUGUUAAUGCAUAGAGCUGAAAUGCGUUACCUAUGUCCAAAGAGUCUACAACCUGAGCAGCCGGAAAGGAUUGCCAAUGGGAUGGCAGUGCAUGUAAAUGCUCAUGCACCUGUGCAAAACUUGAAUCUGGAUAUGGGGGAACAAUCACCUGAACACACAGUUUCUAAGUCUUGCGGCCCUUCUGCAGGCUCUUCUGCUGAGCUAUCAAGUUCAUCACAUUCAGAGCAAGCAAAAACUAAUGGUGUAGAAAGAUCUCAGCCUGGUGCUCUUUGGGAUGUCUUCCGCAGGCAGGAUGUGCCGAUGCUGAAUAAAUAUUUAGCUUCUAACUGGGAGGAACUUACAAAUAACAGUCAGGCGAUGCUCUCUGUGAAGCAUCCUAUUUAUGAUCAAGCUGUAUAUCUCAGGGAGCACCAUAAAAGGGUAUUAAAGGAUCAAUAUGCUCUUCCGCCUCUCGAGUUCUCUCUGCCGGCGCCAAUGAAGAUGAACUUGUAGAGGAGGUCCCAUGGUAGGUCCUGGGUGGGCGUGAACUAGCCACGGCCGGCACUGUGGAGACGAGCGAUAGGUGGCCCUCGUAGAGGAAGCCCGAGGGCCUGCACGGUGACAGCGGCGUCCCUGAACCGUGUGUAGCCAAGCGCGCCGCAGCGGCUGGGGAGCUGGAACGGCGCUGGCGAAUGCUUCAGCAGCCCUGCCAGUCACCGCCGCUGCUGAUGCCCUGCCUGCCCUGUGCUGCUCUUGCUCGCCGCCGCGGCCACCUACUGGUUCUACAACAGGUACUGCUGGUUGCUGCUGCUGCACGUAGUGCUGCUGCUGCUCGCACCUCUUGGCUCCACAGUGGUCAGCCGGGUAUACUCUUGUGUUCUGAACGACAGCUGAUGCAACACAUAGUCCUUUCGCUUGGAGAGCAGGAUAAAUCACUGAUGUGUAUUAGCGUCACAAAAUCCUGUGUUUGCUUCCAUGGAAGAAUCGAUCAGCUGCUUGCAUGCUUGCCAUGCUGCCAUGGAAUAAUCAAUCUAGCACUUCUUCUGUGGAUUGCUCACCGGCGACGGAUAGAGCCAGAGGCAUCAUAUCUUGGUCUGACGGGGGGACUGUGAUGCUGAGAUGUGGACCUGCAUGGCUCCUGGUCGUGUUGGCCAGCGUGACCAUGGCCGCCAACUCCGGAUCCGCUCCCCGUGGCAAGUCACAAGAGAGAUGGGGAAUGAACAAACAGGAAGAGCUUGUCUGUUGGCUUGGUCGAUCGAGGACAUGGGCAAUUUGGGGAUUUCAUGCGGGCCCCACCUGUAAGAGGCAAAUCCUCGAAGUCCCAAGUAAAAAGUGCAAAAUAUCAAUUGCAAAGUAGGCAGAGGCAAAUUGUCGAAGGCCCAAGUAAGCAGUGGCAAGAGAUCACAUCCCCCCCUUUUGGCGAAUUGUCGAAGUCCCACGAAUUGAACCUCGGACAUUUGAACAACAUAUUGGCGAGGCUGUUUUUAUUCCAGCUGGCUGUCCUUACCAAGUAAAAAAUCUCCAGUCUACGGUUCAGUUGGCUCUGGAUUUUUUGUCGCCUGAGAGUUUGCGGGAGUCGGCUCGUAUGGCCCAAGAGAUACGCUGCCUGCCAAAUCAUCAUGAUGCAAAACUGAAGAUGCUUGAGGUUGGAAAAAUAGCUUUAUAUGCAGCAAGUUCCGCUGUCAAAGAAAUUCA